ensembl:lncRNA
UUAAAAGGUACUCCUUCUCAUGGUGAUAAGAAGAAAAAGUCUUUAGUGACAAGUAACCAAGUUAUUCUAUUCACUUGUUUGUACCACAAUUUUAACAUUUACUGCACUUUAUGUACCUACAGCGGCUAAUGAAUCAGAAGUCUCACACAUUCACAGGAAAUAACUUAAACCACAUGAAAAAGUAAGAUGGAUAUACAGUGACACCUAACCUGAAAACCCAGAAUUAAUUUUUGUAACUCAAAGUAAAGACUGAACAGUGUAAAACAUGGUAAAAGAUAAUAAAGCAUUCUGUAAGCCCAUGGUUCAAAUUUAAAAAGCUUUUCUGUAAUGUGUAUAGGUCCAAUUACAGAGCCUGUUUGAGAAAGCAGAAGAGAAAAUAAAACAAGGUGAAAAGAUACUUCAAGAACAUCAGAAAGCUUGUCGCAGCAUCAUAGUAAGUUUAAACCUCUAUGCAUCCCCUAUUUAAUCUAAAUAAAAGUAAAUAUUCUAACCUGAGAUAUAAGGACUACAGGUUCUCAUAAAUGAACACAACAUGCACGCAUUACAUAUUGUGUGUGUGUGUGUGUGUGUGUGUGUGUGUGUGUGUUUCAGGAGGACUAUUCUGUGAGUGAUGUCUCCCAGGUGUUACAGAUGGGUUCAGCCCUGCAGGCUCAGGUGGGCAGACUGGUGUCAGCCGUGAUAAAAAUCACGGAGCUGGAGAGACAGCAGGUCAUGGAGAGGGUGCAGGAAGAGUGCAGCAGAGAAAGAGAAGAUCUGAACCAAACUGAGAGCAUCCACCACUUAUUUGGCUCCCUGCUGGAUGAGAGCGACCCCUUCCUGCUCAUCUGGGUAUUCCAAACAGAGGGUUCACAGUAAGUCUUUAGAUAAACCGUGAUUGUUUUAGUGAGUGUCAUAGCAAAAUCUUGUUAUUUGUGAGUGCAGUGGUAUGUAUCUUUUACUGUAUUAGUUGCUCUAUUCUUCUUUGUAGGAUGAUGGCAGAUCUCAACACACCUCUGUUCACACCACCUUAGCCCAGCAUGGAUAAGAAAUGUGUUUUAGAGAAUGUGGAAAAUAAAUACAGAGAAUUCAUAGCUGAGACCCUGCA